rfam:Triticum aestivum genome assembly, contig: Triticum_aestivum_CS42_TGACv1_scaffold_288745_4AL
GGGCGGGGUUAGGAUCCUCUGCAGUACUGUACGGUGCUGUACAGUUACUGCCAUGUGGGACCUGGCCCCACAUGUCAUCGACACUACAGCACCAUACGAUACUGCAGAGGAUCUCAACCCGCC